rnacentral:rRNA from 1 species
UACGUAGGGUGCGAGCGUUGUCCGGAAUUACUGGGCGUAAAGCGCACGUAGGCGGCUUUGUAAGUUAGAGGUGAAAGCCCAGGGCUUAACCCUGGAAUUGCCUUUAAGACUGCAUCGCUAGAAUCGUGGAGAGGUGAGUGGAAUUCCGAGUGUAGAGGUGAAAUUCGUAGAUAUCGAGAGGAACACCGGUGGCGAAGGCGGCCAACUGGACGAAUACUGACGCUGAGACACGAAAGCGUGGGGAGCAAACAGG